rnacentral:rRNA from 2 species
GGGUUGUGAGGUUAAGCGACUAAGCGUACACGGUGGAUGCCCUGGCAGUCAGAGGCGAUGAAGGACGUGCUAAUCUGCGAUAAGCGUCGGUAAGGUGAUAUGAACCGUUAUAACCGGCGAUUUCCGAAUGGGGAAACCCAGUGUGAUUCGUCACACUAUCAUUAACUGAAUCCAUAGGUUAAUGAGGCGAACCGGGGGAACUGAAACAUCUAAGUACCCCGAGGAAAAGAAAUCAACCGAGAUUCCCCCAGUAGCGGCGAGCGAACGGGGAGGAGCCCAGAGCCUGAAUCAGUGUGUGUGUUAGUGGAAGCGUCUGGAAAGGCGCGCGAUACAGGGUGACAGCCCCGUACACAAAAAUGCACAUGCUGUGAGCUCGAUGAGUAGGGCGGGACACGUGGUAUCCUGUCUGAAUAUGGGGGGACCAUCCUCCAAGGCUAAAUACUCCUGACUGACCGAUAGUGAACCAGUACCGUGAGGGAAAGGCGAAAAGAACCCCGGCGAGGGGAGUGAAAAAGAACCUGAAACCGUGUACGUACAAGCAGUGGGAGCACGCUUAGGCGUGUGACUGCGUACCUUUUGUAUAAUGGGUCAGCGACUUAUAUUCUGUAGCAAGGUUAACCGAAUAGGGGAGCCGAAGGGAAACCGAGUCUUAACUGGGCGUUAAGUUGCAGGGUAUAGACCCGAAACCCGGUGAUCUAGCCAUGGGCAGGUUGAAGGUUGGGUAACACUAACUGGAGGACCGAACCGACUAAUGUUGAAAAAUUAGCGGAUGACUUGUGGCUGGGGGUGAAAGGCCAAUCAAACCGGGAGAUAGCUGGUUCUCCCCGAAAGCUAUUUAGGUAGCGCCUCGUGAAUUCAUCUCCGGGGGUAGAGCACUGUUUCGGCAAGGGGGUCAUCCCGACUUACCAACCCGAUGCAAACUGCGAAUACCGGAGAAUGUUAUCACGGGAGACACACGGCGGGUGCUAACGUCCGUCGUGAAGAGGGAAACAACCCAGACCGCCAGCUAAGGUCCCAAAGUCAUGGUUAAGUGGGAAACGAUGUGGGAAGGCCCAGACAGCCAGGAUGUUGGCUUAGAAGCAGCCAUCAUUUAAAGAAAGCGUAAUAGCUCACUGGUCGAGUCGGCCUGCGCGGAAGAUGUAACGGGGCUAAACCAUGCACCGAAGCUGCGGCAGCGACGCUGAUGCGUUGUUGGGUAGGGGAGCGUUCUGUAAGCCUGUGAAGGUGUGCUGUGAGGCAUGCUGGAGGUAUCAGAAGUGCGAAUGCUGACAUAAGUAACGAUAAAGCGGGUGAAAAGCCCGCUCGCCGGAAGACCAAGGGUUCCUGUCCAACGUUAAUCGGGGCAGGGUGAGUCGACCCCUAAGGCGAGGCCGAAAGGCGUAGUCGAUGGGAAACAGGUUAAUAUUCCUGUACUUGGUGUUACUGCGAAGGGGGGACGGAGAAGGCUAUGUUGGCCGGGCGACGGUUGUCCCGGUUUAAGCGUGUAGGCUGGUUUUCCAGGCAAAUCCGGAAAACUAAGGCUGAGGCGUGAUGACGAGGCACUACGGUGCUGAAGCAACAAAUGCCCUGCUUCCAGGAAAAGCCUCUAAGCAUCAGGUAACAUCAAAUCGUACCCCAAACCGACACAGGUGGUCAGGUAGAGAAUACCAAGGCGCUUGAGAGAACUCGGGUGAAGGAACUAGGCAAAAUGGUGCCGUAACUUCGGGAGAAGGCACGCUGAUAUGUAGGUGAAGUCCCUCGCGGAUGGAGCUGAAAUCAGUCGAAGAUACCAGCUGGCUGCAACUGUUUAUUAAAAACACAGCACUGUGCAAACACGAAAGUGGACGUAUACGGUGUGACGCCUGCCCGGUGCCGGAAGGUUAAUUGAUGGGGUCAGCGCAAGCGAAGCUCUUGAUCGAAGCCCCGGUAAACGGCGGCCGUAACUAUAACGGUCCUAAGGUAGCGAAAUUCCUUGUCGGGUAAGUUCCGACCUGCACGAAUGGCGUAAUGAUGGCCAGGCUGUCUCCACCCGAGACUCAGUGAAAUUGAACUCGCUGUGAAGAUGCAGUGUACCCGCGGCAAGACGGAAAGACCCCGUGAACCUUUACUAUAGCUUGACACUGAACAUUGAGCCUUGAUGUGUAGGAUAGGUGGGAGGCUUUGAAGUGUGGACGCCAGUCUGCAUGGAGCCGACCUUGAAAUACCACCCUUUAAUGUUUGAUGUUCUAACGUUGACCCGUAAUCCGGGUUGCGGACAGUGUCUGGUGGGUAGUUUGACUGGGGCGGUCUCCUCCUAAAGAGUAACGGAGGAGCACGAAGGUUGGCUAAUCCUGGUCGGACAUCAGGAGGUUAGUGCAAUGGCAUAAGCCAGCUUGACUGCGAGCGUGACGGCGCGAGCAGGUGCGAAAGCAGGUCAUAGUGAUCCGGUGGUUCUGAAUGGAAGGGCCAUCGCUCAACGGAUAAAAGGUACUCCGGGGAUAACAGGCUGAUACCGCCCAAGAGUUCAUAUCGACGGCGGUGUUUGGCACCUCGAUGUCGGCUCAUCACAUCCUGGGGCUGAAGUAGGUCCCAAGGGUAUGGCUGUUCGCCAUUUAAAGUGGUACGCGAGCUGGGUUUAGAACGUCGUGAGACAGUUCGGUCCCUAUCUGCCGUGGGCGCUGGAGAACUGAGGGGGGCUGCUCCUAGUACGAGAGGACCGGAGUGGACGCAUCACUGGUGUUCGGGUUGUCAUGCCAAUGGCACUGCCCGGUAGCUAAAUGCGGAAGAGAUAAGUGCUGAAAGCAUCUAAGCACGAAACUUGCCCCGAGAUGAGUUCUCCCUGACUCCUUGAGAGUCCUGAAGGAACGUUGAAGACGACGACGUUGAUAGGCCGGAUGUGUAAGCGCAGCGAUGCGUUGAGCUAACCGGUACUAAUGAACCGUGAGGCUUAACCUUACAACGCCGAAGGUGUUU